AUUCCAUGUUAUGGGCAUUUCCUCAACAUUUCCUUGUACCUCUCCCAUGUGUCGUACAAGAAUUCAGAAUCUAAUUGCACAAAGGAUGAAAUAUCACUCUUCAACUU